AUAGUUUAGUUAGAAUGACAUCAAUACAUAUUUUCCUAAUGGAUUAUUAUUAUUUUUUGUUAGAAGUGUCAAACAUGGACAAGUUGCCUCGUGUAAAAAGAGACAGCUGCCUUCCCUGUGCUCAGGCAUGCUUCUGGACACAUCAGCUGUCAGGGAAUGGCAGAAGCACCAGGAUGUAAGCAAGACACACAAUAUAUUUAAAGUCUCUGCUUGCCUCACACCUGCCAACAUGUAGUAAACCAAUGCAAGUCACAUGGCCAACCCUAACAUCCAUGGGGUGGGAGCCCGAGUCGCUAACCCUGAGGCAGCUCGUCCCUGCCCAGCUCCUGUGCCACAGGUCGGGCAGGAAUCCUGCCAGGAGGAGCGCUUGGGGCUCGCCCCUGAGUCAUCCCAGUUGGACGCCAGCUGCCGGCGGUGCGCACAGAGGCGAGCCUGCGGCUGGGCCGGAGGAAAGCUGCUCCAGCCCCGGAGACCGGCGGGUUAAAAACCUGUAGGACGGAUCCAUCCGAGGCAUUGCCUGGCUCUGUCCCGCGCUCUGCUGAACGACGGAGCCCACGCUGCUAGGACACAAAGAGGGCGCACGUUUAUUUUUCAAGCGUAGGACUCUGGAACCACUUGGGAAGAAUAUUCUUGAUUGAGAACCAAAACAUUCCAGGAUGCUUAACAAACCUGCAAAUUGGAAAAUCAGCAUUGGCCUACGCAGCUGGGAGGCAGGGGGAGGACCUAUAGGCCUUGAAAUCCCCCCUCCCCCAAAUAUUCCUUAAAUGAUAUCUGUGUGCGUUUGCAAAAUUACUGCCGACUGGAUCAAAGCGUCCAGCUGUUUUCGCCCGAGAACGGACGUGGCGCGGUUAAGACACGGCCUCGGCCCGCGCGCGCGCCGGGUAACCCGCAGCCCCGCCAAGAAGGCGCGGCGGCUCGCUCAGUGCCUCCGCGAUGAUAUUGUAAAGUAAAUGAUAUGCAUCAUUAAAUCACCGAGGAUGACUAACUCAAUUUUAGAAAGCCCGCGACUCCAGCGAUCCUAGUUACAGCUCUGAUUUGAAUACCUUCGCUUCCACCGGAGCAGCCUCGCGCCCGGGCCGCGCUCUCGGAGGAGCGCGCGGGGCCGGGCCGCUGCGAGAUGCCUGCCGUCCGCCAGGGCUCCGCGGGCUUCGCCUUCCUCCCUUCUUGACUUCUUAUUUACAUAUCACAGGCGUCCUCUUUGUAAAGUUAUUUUAAAUAAUUUAUUAGAUUGAUCUUUUUAAAAUUCUACCCUGGCUAAAUGUCAUAAGGAGGGAGGGGAAAAAAAAAGCCUUCGAAGAAACUUAUGGAAAGGUUUCUACUGGAGGAGGCCGGUUACCUGCUUCACUGCGGAUAUUCUAAAAAUACCUCCGUGUCCGUACUAUUACCCAUUCUUCACGUCCAAUUGCUCUGUUAUGGUAAUAGUCAGAAGCACACCAUGCAGUAAUUACUUACAGCUGACUGACGAAAAGAAUAUUCAACUCCCCCACUGUUCCACUGGAAGGUCUUUAUGCACUAUUAACUCAUUCCUGUUUAUUAAUACUCUACUGGUAAUUCAGGCUGCUGCCUCUUAGGUUUGUAAUAGGAGGACUAUUAAACAGCAAUUACUGACCAUA